rnacentral:rRNA from 1 species
UACGAAGGGGGCUAGCGUUGCUCGGAAUCACUGGGCGUAAAGCGCACGUAGGCGGCUUAUUAAGUCAGGGGUGAAAUCCUGGAGCUUAACUCCAGAACUGCCUUUGAUACUGAUGAGCUUGAGUCCGGGAGAGGUGAGUGGAACUGCGAGUGUAGAGGUGAAAUUCGUAGAUAUUCGCAAGAACACCAGUGGCGAAGGCGGCUCACUGGCCCGGUACUGACGCUGAGGUGCGAAAGCGUGGGGAGCAAACAGG